UUGAUGGAGAGUUUGAUUCUGGCUCAGAAUGAACGCUGGCGGCGUGCUUAACACAUGCAAGUCGAACGGAAUCGAAGGAGCUUGCUCCUGAAAAUUUAGUGGCGAACGGGUGAGUAUCACGUGAGCAACCUGCCCCGAAGACUGGGAUAACACCGGGAAACCGGUGCUAAUACCGGAUGACUUUCGUUGAUCGCAUGAUCGAUGAAAGAAAUGUUUUUUCGCUUCGGGAGGGGCUCGCGGUCCAUCAGCUUGUUGGCGGGGUAAUGGCCCACCAAGGCUACGACGGAUAGCUGGUCUGAGAGGACGAUCAGCCACACUGGAACUGAGACACGGUCCAGACUCCUACGGGAGGCAGCAGUGGGGA
rnacentral:rRNA from 1 species